rnacentral:lncRNA from 1 species
UUUUAACCACGGGAGAAAAAGUGUCAGUGAAAUCAACCCCUUCAAUUUGAGUAUCACCUCUAAUAACAAGUCUAGCUUUGUAUCUUUCAACAAUACCAUCAGCCAUUUGAUCUUAUAAACCUAUUUUCAGCCUAUGGGUUUCUUACCAUAAGGAAGGGGAACAACAUCCCAGGUACAGUUAGCAUCCAAAGCAUCAAACUCCUUUCUCAUGGCAUUCUGCCAUACUAGAACUGAGGCAGCUUUAGAGUAGUAAAGAGGUUCAGUCUCCAGAGGAGGAGAAGAAGACCCAGAGAAAGCAGGAAGAUGACAGACAUAAUCCUUAAGAUAAGAAGGAGGAUUGUGCUGUCUUCUAGAUUUCCUGGGAACACCAGGUGAUGCGGAAGAAGGCAAAGCAGGAGGGGAAAUUUCAGGGUUGAAAGGAGGACUGGAAAUUGGAUAGGAAGAAGGAGAAGCUGAAACAGAAGGUGAAGGUGGAGAGGAACAGAUGGGAAUAGAGAAAUCUGGCUAUGGCUCAAAAAGGGAAUGCUCAAGAGGAGGGACAAAAUGAAGAGAAGAGGGAGGAACAGAAGGAGUAGAGUUAACAGAAGAAAUAGAUUUAAAAGGAAAAGAAGUUUCAUGAAAGAUAACAUCCCUGGACACAAAGCACUUUUUGGAACUGAGAUCAUACAAUCUAUAACCCUUUUUAUUAAAAGGAUACCCUAGGAAGACACAUGAAAUGGCCCUAGGUUUCAACUUGUCCCUCUGAGGAAUUGGGACAGUAGCAUAGGCAAGGCAGCCAAAAUCCCUUAAAUGGGAGUAAGUAGGUGCCUUUCCAUGCAAGAUUUAAUAAGGGGAUUUGCCAUGAAGAAGCCUGGAGGGUAUUCUGUUAAUAAGGUAGGUAGCAGUUAAUAGGCAAUCUCCCCAGAAAGAGAUGGGUAAACCAGAUUGGAAGAGUAAACGUCUAUAACCCUUUUAUAGCAAAAGGAUACCCCAGGAAGACACAUGAAAUGGCCCUAGGUUUCAAUUUGUCACUUUUAGGGAUUGGGACAGCAGCAUAGGCAAGGCAGCCAAAAGCCCUUAAAUGGGAGUAAGUAGGUGCCUUUCCAUGCAAAAUUUCAUAAGGGGAUUUGCCAUGAAGGAGCCUGGAGGUAUUCUAUUAAUAAGGUAUGUAGCAGUCAAUAGGCAAUCUCCCCAGAAAGAGAUGGGCAAACUAUAUUGGAAAAGUAAAGCUCUACAAGUUUCAAGAAGAGUCCUAUGUUUCCUUUCAACAACACCAUUCUUGGAGGGCAUUCUGUUAAAAAGGUAUGUAGCAGUCAAUAGGCAAUCUCCCCAGAAAAAGAGGGGUAAACCAUAUUGGAAGAGUAAAGCUCUACAAGUUUCAAGAAGAGUCCUAUGUUUCCAUUCAACAACACCAUUCUGUUGAGGAGUAUGUGGGCAAGUGGUUUGGCGAAUAAUGCCAUGUUGACUAAAAAAGGAUGCACCAGCAAUACUAGACCCC